UAAUUGUAAGAAUAUUGAUGUCAACAGUACUUAAUUUUUAAAGUGCCUAAAGUAAGUUUUUUUGUACAGAUUACCAAAUAACGUGUAAAUAACACAAUCCAAUGGCAUCAGUUCAUGGCUUAGAUAAACUACACCAAGCAAUUACAGAAGCUUUGGAAUUUGAAAAAUGCUGUAUAUGUUUGGAAAAGCUGCAAAAAUGCGUGAUUCUCUGGCCAUGUUCACACCGAUUUUGCAACGACUGCAUCUUGGCUUAUCUUGUGAGCGUUCAUGGUGACAAGAUACCUUGUCCCUUGUGUAAGAGGCUAACUACUCGGCGAAGUAUUCUAAAUUUUCAAGACAGGCAACAGGAAUUUGAAGACAGUUUACAAACUCUUAUAGGAAACAUCAGUCUUGAUCUUGGAUUUGAUAUUACAAGCGUCCAACCAUUUAAAAAAAACUAAAGUAACAUCUGAUGACAAAAAUAAAAUCAGAGUACCAUCACCUGUGAGGAGAACCAGGAGUAAAUCUUCAAGAAACAUUCAUAAUGAGCAGAAAACUAAUACAAUCAAUUGUGGGAAUAAAAGAUCCACUGAAAGUCCAGUCAAUGCACAGGAUCUUAAGUCACAAAAUAUUUCACUGUGUUCAGUGACAUUGCAUGAUGUUAUUAAAAACAUGAGUCCACAAAGUGAAAAAGUUAAUCAAUGGCUAAACAGUACACACUUCUCUCAGGGGGAAUCACCAAACAUAUCAAACACUGUAGUAGCAGAUGUUCACGAAUCUGAUUUGGAGUCUCCUAUGUUCUCAGACGAUCAGUUAGUCUCGGUAUCUCAAGUUGAAUCGAAAACUAUAAAGAAAUCCUGCAAAAAGAUACAGAAAUCUCUUAAUGUUUCUUCUGAUAUUAAUGCAAUAAAGCCUUUUGAUGAAACAUACAAAAGCAAAAGACUUAAAAAAUCUUUUCAAGACAAAAGUAAUGAAGAGAGUUACAAAAGUGAAAAGUUUGAUCAACUUUUAUGUUCAGAGAAAAAAUAUCAAAUUAUUUCAGAAACGUAUCAAGGUAGGAACUUGCGUGAGAGAAAGUGUACAAGAGGAAGACGUUUUGAUAUAGAUACUAAUUUAUUUAAGCCUGACGAAAACAACACUGAAAAAGGCAAAAUGUCGGAUUCUGAUAAGCAUGAAGAUUCAUCAGAGAAAUCUUUGGAAGAUUUUUCUUCAGGAAGUGGAGAGGAAUGGGAUGCUGAAGAAGAAUCAAAUAAAGGUCUUUCAAGUAAAAAUAAGAUUUUAAAAAAUAUUAAAAGAUUAACGAAAUCUAAGGACAAAAGUAAUGGUUCGGAAAAUCAAGUUUUAAAAAGAGUAAAUAAGAAUAACAUGAAAAUCGCUAAAAAUCAAAAAGCUAAAACAUUGUUAACAACUAACAAAUGUCUGGUGAAUUUUCUAAAUAAUAAUAAUGAAAAAGACAAGUUAAAUAAGGGCAAAAUAAACAGUUCCACCAACAAUUAUAACAAAACUGAGAAUGAUUCAACAAAAAGUGAUGAAACUGUCAAAAGAAUUAUAGAUGAUUGGGAUGACUAUAAACGCACAAACAUCUUAAACAUGCCUUCUCUUAAUGAGGUUCAAUCUAGAAAUGUAAGAACACAUGUACAAUCUAACACUUCAGUGGAGCUUACGCCUGUUAAACAAGAUAAUCAACGCUCUCCUGGUUGGUCACGACUAAAAAAUACAAAGAAAGAAUUCCAUAUGUCUGAGAGAAAAAAAACUUAGUUUGAAAACCCUAAGUAAGUCCAAUUCUACAAUAUCCACUAAUAAAGCCUCACCAUUAAAUAAAGGUAACAAUAGUUUUGACGAUAUAAAUCAGUCUUUUAAUGACAGAAAAGAAAAUAAAGUCAGUGAUCCUUUAAUUUCUCAAUGUAAGGGACUUUUAAACAAGGUAGAAAAAGAAGAUGUAAUGCUUAAAGAACAAACAACCACCAUUUCCUCAGCAGUUGAUGAAACAUUUCCAAAAAUAAAUAGUGACGAAAGUAAAUCACUUUCAAAUUCAGAUUCUUUAUUCAAGGGAUUUUCAACUCAAGAACAAAAUAAGUCAGAUUUGAAAAAAUUGGAAAUGUUAAAUGUAGAAAAAUGUGGUGAAGCACCAAUAACAAAUAAAACGACUGUUCUUUCAGAAAAUAUGCAUUCCCAAGUUCAACUUUCUACUGGCUUAGUCAGUCAGGAAAAUUUGGAAAAUGACUUGCAUAAUGCUAAUUCCAAAACUUCAUUCAUGGAAGUAGAUGCAGAACAAGAUUAUAGAAUUGAAGUACGGUCUCCAAAAAUCAGUGGACAAAAAAAUUGUGUUACUGAUAAAAAAUUAGAACUAGCAAUUAAUAGCAGCUGUAGAAAUUCAAAUGGAGAAACUGAGCGUAAAAUUGUAUGUGUUAAUAAUGAGCAAAUCAAUCAACAAAUUAAAAUGAUGAAAAGAGAUAGAGAUCCUGACUUACACAAUAGCAGUUCAUCAAUUUGUUCACCUGAGCGGAAAAAAGAAAGUGUCAAGAUGCAGGAGUGCAGACCAGUCCUGGUCGAAUGCAAUCCCUAAUUCAAGAUAUCCUCAAAAAUAUAUGGGGAAUAGAGGCUGAACAAAAACUAGCUAUAAUUUGCAAUGGAAGCAAUAGAAAGUUGCAUUUUGAUGAAGAUAAUUUGCAGUCGACAUCUUCUAAUGUUCAGAAUAAAUCAUGUGGUAAAGGUGAUGAGGAAUUGAACACUAUGACUCAAUAUGCAAGAAAUUCAAAUGAAAAUCUUAGUUAUUCCAAGAAAUGUCAAAAUGAUUCAGACUUUGUCUUAGGGACCGAAAACAUAAAUUUUUCUUUAAGUAACAUUUUGAAUAAACAUUGUAAUAAAGAAGCACGUGAAAUUGGAAGUGCUAUGGAUAGUUCCAACAUUCUGAAAGAGAAGAGUAAUAAUGAUGUUGAGGUUGAUCCUGAUGCUCCCACCCAACCAUACAAGACUCCUGUUGUACCCAAGCGGCCUUUUGUAACUUCCACUUCAAACGUGUAUUCGGCUGUGUCAAACCCUACAGAAAGUGAGUUGAAAAGAGUAAAUGAAAUAUUUAAAAAUAAUGAUGUAUUAUUCCCUGACGCUACUCCAAUAAAAGCAACACCAUUGAACUGUUCAGGCAUUGGUCAGUUAGAAUCUUUUACUACAAAUUUGAACAAGCACCUUGACAGCUUCAGUCAUUUACCAUCGAAAGCUUGUAAAGAAAAAUCGAAUAAGAGUAGACGACAGUUGGAUUUUCUUGUUGAUGAUAAUACCAAUUCCAAUGAUAUGUUUACUGCAGAGCAUUUGGAAGAGAUGCCUGGUAAAACAAAACCAAAACCCACAAAAGAUUCACAAAACCGCAAUACACACAAUAGUGAAAUUAUUUCAAUAGUUAAUGACUCGAAAAAAGAAAGCCUUUGUAUAUCGAUGGACAAAGAAAAUGUCAAUGAUAAUAUAACUGAAAAUGUUUCAUUAAAUAGUGAUUCUAUCAUAUUAAAAGAGGAUGACAAAUUGUUCACCAAACAAACAAAAUAUGACAUUACCAAGUUAAGUCAAGAUCAAGUAAUAUCUUCACAGGUGAAUGAUUUAAUGAAGUGUAAUGAGACUUUGACUGAAACCCCAGAUAUUAUACUUCCUACUGAAGAGCAAGAAUGUUCUAAAAACCCUGAAUUAAAAGUCACAAGAGGCCAGGUUACUCUCACAUAUAAAAAAAAAAGAGCAAGAAUGUUCUAGGAACCCUAAAUUAAAAGUCACAAGAGGCCAGGUUACCAUCACAUAUAAAAACAAAGGCUCUCAAAGACAUGUCCUCUCAUCACCUAUGGAAAACUCAAAUAACGAGGAAGAACUGGACAAUAACAAAAAAGACUCGAAUGUUGAUUCACCUACAUUUAGUCUAGGACAGUUAGUUGAACAUCAGGUUACAAACCGUUUACAAAAAGCAAUAGUUGAAAGUACAGAUAAACUAGACAAAGACCACAGAUAUGAGUUGCAGUACAACAAUUCGUUGGUAGCUUCUAAUAAACCUGAAUCAACAGUGGAUCUUCAAGGAUGUCAAGAUGAAGAACAAACUCCGAAACAUAACUUAAACAUGUUGGAUGAUGGACCUAUGUCCC